GUAAUACUCCCUCCGUCCGAAAAUAGUUGUCAUCAAAAUGGAUGAAAAGGGAUGUAUCUAGAACUAAAAUACGUCUAGAUACAUCUCCUUUAAUCCAUUUUGAUGACAAGUAUUUCCGGACGGAGGGAGUACUAC
rnacentral:pre_miRNA from 1 species